GUGAAUCAUCAAAUCUUUGAACGCAUAUUGCACUCUCUGGUAUUCCGGUGAGUAUGCCUGUGUGAGGGUAAUUAAAAAGAAUCUUUAACCAAUGUUUUUUGGUCAAAGGAAAUGAGUUCACCGCGUUUAUAGCGGUAGCUUGAAAUAAAUGGUCAAGUCUCAUUUUAGUCUAGACGCGUAAUAAUAUUAUUUCGCGAAAUCUUCAGUAUGUAACGAUCAAGUUUUGAUUCAUACGAAUUUGGUUUGUAUGCAGUUAAUACAAAUAUUUUGAACAUUACCUCAAAUCAGUUAGGAUUACCCG
rnacentral:misc_RNA from 1 species